CAGACCGCUCUCUUUUAAGAAGCUAACCUACCCUCUGGACAGAGACACCCCCGGGAAACUGGGACUAAUCCCAGAUAGGCGUGGAUACCUGGAAUGGUUCCACACCCAAAGGCACGGCAACCAUGUUUGUCGUGCGCCAGAGGAUGGGGCUGCGGCCGAUCAGGCAGUUGGCGAGGUAACGGCUCACCAAACCUCUGACCGGUACGGGCCAUGACAGUGGUAGCCCGGAGAUGGACACUGAGAUAGGGGUCCAGGCCCUACGGGGCGCAGCAGGCGCGAAAACUCCACACUGUACGUAAGUACGAUGGGGUUAUCUCGAGUGCAGUCUGAAAAAGAUUGUUUUUCCAUAGAGUAAUAUCCUGUGGGAAUAAGAGGGGGGCAAGACUGGUGUCAGCCGCCGCGGUAACACCAGCCCCUCGAGUGGUGGGGACUUUUAUUGGGCCUAAAGCGUCCGUAGCUGGCUGUAUCCGUCUCCCGUUAAAUCCAGCGUCUCAAGCGUUGGACUGCGGGUGAUACCAUACAGCUUGAGGGUGGGACAGGUAAGCGGUAUUUCUGGGGUAGGGGCGAAAUCCUUUGAUCCCAGGAGGACCACCAGUGGCGAAGGCUGCUUACUAGAACACGCCUGACGGUCAGGGACGAAAGCUGGGGUAGCGAACC
rnacentral:rRNA from 1 species